AUCACAGUGCAGUUAUGUUGAUCAUGGGCUGAUUAGACAUAUAUCCAUCGAGAUGUCUUAUUUAAGGGGAACGUGUGGGCGAUCUUAGUUAUAUGGCCCUGAGGUAAGAACCAGAUGUCAGGUAUAUAUUCAUAUUAGCAACCCCCAAA